rnacentral:rRNA from 1 species
GAUGAACGCUGGCGGCGUGCCUAAUACAUGCAAGUCGAGCGAACGGACGGGAAGCUUGCUUCUCUGAUGUUAGCGGCGGACGGGUGAGUAACACGUGGAUAACCUACCUAUAAGACUGGGAUAACUUCGGGAAACCGGAGCUAAUACCGGAUAAUAUUUUGAACCGCAUGGUUCAAAAGUGAAAGACGGUCUUGCUGUCACUUAUAGAUGGAUCCGCGCUGCAUUAGCUAGUUGGUAAGGUAACGGCUUACCAAGGCAACGAUGCAUAGCCGACCUGAGAGGGUGAUCGGCCACACUGGAACUGAGACACGGUCCAGACUCCUACGGGAGGAAGCAGUAGGGAAUCUUCCGCAAUGGGCGAAAGCCUGACGGAGCAACGCCGCGUGAGUGAUGAAGGUCUUCGGAUCGUAAAACUCUGUUAUUAGGGAAGAACAUAUGUGUAAGUAACUGUGCACAUCUUGACGGUACCUAAUCAGAAAGCCACGGCUAACUACGUG